GAUGAACGCUAGCUAUAGGCUUAACACAUGCAAGUCGAGGGGAAACGGCAUUAUGUGCUUGCACAUUUUGGACGUCGACCGGCGCACGGGUGAGUAUCGCGUAUCCAACCUGCCCUUUACUUGGGGAUACCCCGUUGAAAGACGGCCUAAUACCCGAUGUAAUUCAUUGAUGGCAUCAGAUAUGAAUAAAAGAUUUAUCGGUAAAGGAUGGGGAUGCGUCUGAUUAGCUUGUUGGUGAGGUAACGGCUCACCAAGGCGACGAUCAGUAGGGGUUCUGAGAGGAAGGUCCCCCACAUUGGAACUGAGACACGGUCCAAACUCCUACGGGAGGCAGCAGUGAGGAAUAGUGGUCAAUGGGCGCAAGCCUGAACCAGCCAAGUAGCGUGCAGGAAGACGGCCCUAUGGGUUGUAAACUGCUUUUAUACGAGAAUAAUUUGAUGCAUGUGUGCGUUAUUGCAUGUAUCGUAGGAAUAAGGACCGGCUAAUUCCGU
rnacentral:rRNA from 1 species